UACGUAGGGGGCUAGCGUUGUCCGGAAUCAUUGGGCGUAAAGAGCGUGUAGGCGGCUCGGUAAGUCCGCUGUAAAAGUCAAAGGCUCAACCUUUGAAUGUCAGUGGAUACUGCCGGGCUAGAGUCCGGAAGAGGCGAGUGGAACUCCUGGUGUAGCGGUGGAAUGCGCAGAUAUCAGGAGGAACACCGAUGGCGAAGGCAGGUCUCUGGGCAUUAACUGACGCUGAGGAGCGAAAGCAUGGGGAGCGAACAGG
rnacentral:rRNA from 1 species